rnacentral:tRNA from 1 species
GGAGCGGUGUCCGAGUGGUUGAAGGAGGCGGUCUUGAAAACCGUUGUACCGUAAGGUACCGGGGGUUCGAAUCCCCCCUGCUCCG